ACCAAGUUUGGGCAUUUUCUCUUCUGCAUACAUUUAGAUUGAUUGGGAACCCAGUGUUUUUUCUAACUUGUCUUUGACACUUCCAAAGAUCAUACUGCAAUGUUGUAAGGCUGGGGGGAAAAAAAAACUUUGAAUUUGGGGGGCAGAUUUAUAUUUAAGUCUUGACUCGGCUGCUUGACUACAUUUAGAGAUGUUUCUUAUCCUCUCUGAGUCAGAAAUCUCACAUGUAAAUUGCAGAUAGUGAUACAUAACCUUUUAUUUUAAAGCCUUCAUUGAUAUCAUAGCUUAUGUUUUUAGGAAGUUUUUUUUUAGCUGAUUCUGUCAUGUUAGAAUUUUCCUCUUACAAGUAAUGAAUGUAAAGGGGUUUUUUAGACUUCAGUACUACUGUUACAGCCCCUAUCUGACAGGAGAUUUGUUCUGAUGAGUUUGUUAAAAUAGAACUUAAAAGAAGUUCCCGUCCUGACUCAAUGGUAACGAACCCUGACUAGUAUCCAUAAGGACGUGGAUUCGAUACCUGGCCUUUCCUAGUAGGUUAAGGAUCCGGGGUUGCCAUGAGCUGUGGUGUAGGUCACAGAUUCGGCUUGGAUUUGGCAUUGUGCUGGCUGGCUGUGGCUAGGCCAGCAGCUACAGCUCCAAUUCGACCCCUAGUCUGGGAACUUCCAUACACACAUGUGGCCCUAAAAAGACAAAAACAGGUCAUAAAAGAUAAUGUAUUCAUCCCAUUAACUUUUUAACUCAAAACACAUAGCCUAUCUUUUGGUUAGGACCAAGGCCUUUCCCUACAGUAUGGGUUUGCUGACUGGAACAAAAAGUCUCUCUUAAAUCUACAUUCAUUCAUUUAUUUAUGUAUGUAUUUAUUUAUUUACUUAUUUGUUUGUUUGCCUUUUAGGGCUGCACCUGCAGCAUAUGGAAGUUCCCAGGGUAAGGGUCAAGUCAGAGCUACAGCUGCCCAGCUUACGCCUCAGCCACAGCAGUGCUGGGAUCCGAGCCGCAUCUGUGACCUACACCACAGUUUAUGGCAGUGCUGGAUCCUCAACUCAUUGAGCGAGGCCAAGGAUCGAACCCACAUCUUCAAGGAUACCCUACACCAUAGUCGAGUUUGUUACCACUGAGCCACAGCAGGAACUCUUUACAUUUACAACAAAUCAUUUCCAGUUUACAGUUUGCUUCUCUAAUGCAGAUUAAAACUUUAGAGAAUAGAGAGGAAGUGUUUUUCAGCAGCAUCAGCAUUUCAUGGGAAUUUCUUAGCAUGCAAGUUCUUUGAUGUUAUCCUAUCCCUACUGAAUCAGAAACUAAGGAGGUGGACUUUGCAAUUUUUUCACAUGGCCUCCAUGUUAGUUUAAGAACCACUAUUCUAUAUUUUAUGGUUACUCCCAGUUUUUGUAUUUCUUUUUCCUUUGCCUAUUUCAACAGCAGUAUUUUACAGUGACUUGCCUUUAUCAAGUCUUUCAAAGAUUUUGAUUUAGUUUCUAAAGAUCCAUGAGCUUUCAUUUUUGCUUUGUUUAUCUAAUAUUAAAUUAGCUAGGUAUGGUGACUAAUAAAACUCCCCUAAUUGGCAAAUACUACUGAUUUUGGGAGAACAUACGUUUAGCAUUUUGGAGCUGAACUGUGAAGGGCACACUAGAGAGUAAUCUAUGUGCUGGGAUUUUUUAGCAUGCCAUGGGCAUCUAUCUAUAGGGUUGAAGAGGAAAUGGAGAAUGUGGGCUCGUAUAGCAAAUUGAGUAAAUUAAAUUUGGUCAAGAGAGUUUCUCAUAUGUAUUUUUCUAUUUAAGCAUAUAGAUUUCUGUGAUUAUGUACCUUUAUAGCCCUUAAUUCAAUACUUAUGUUUAAACUUCUCUCCUUUGAUCUGUAAGUAGUCUUCUUGGUUAGAAUUUGGAGUUUGAAAUUUGUUUUAAGAACUCCUAGAUCUCUUAGCUUGAUGUGGAGAAAGCAGAGAACCCAUCUAGUGGUUCACAUGGAAGACGUGUGCCUAUUCUUGUUGACACUAAACAGGAAAUUGCAUAGUAGCUGAUACUUGAAGUAGAAAACAGAUGGAAAUGUUGUUUCCUAACCUAACUGUAGCUUUUGCUCCAACUUAUAGUGGCUACUUUAAUUUGGGAGAAAGCACUCAUUAUGUGGUGAUAAUUCAAUUCAACACAUCAGGAUGGUCAUUCCUGCCAAACUACAGGUGAAAUAUUUGUUCACCAUUGAGAUACAAAGGGGUUACAUAAGUCAGUCAGGAAUCUGGCUUGUUGAGCUGAAAAUAGUGCCCUUUGGCAACAUUCUGGAUGGAGUUUCUAUUGAGCUGCUUUUCUAAAAGGUAUGUUUUAAUUAUUUGUAUAUUUUUAACCACAUUGUCAGUCUCACAAAAGGAAAGAGCCUAAAUAGCUGGUCUAGAUCAACUCUGGAUCAUCUUGUUACUGAAAUAGUUGGGUCAUAGAACUGCUAUGAAACAUGAUUAGAAACCUACCUGAUACAAAGUAAAUAACUAUUAUAUAAAAAACAUCAGGGAGUUCCUGUUGUGUUGCAGUGGAUAUGAAUCCAACUAGUAUCCAUGAGGAUGUGGGUUUGAUCCCUGGCCUCGCUCAGUGGGUUGAGGAUGGGCGUUGCUAUGAGUUGUGGUGUAGGUCGCAAAUGUUGCUCAGAUCUGGUGUUGCUGUGACUAUGGCAUGGGCUCCGAUUUGACCCUAUUCUGUGAACUUCCACCUGCGGCGAGUGUGGCCCUAAAAAGCAAAAAUAAAUAAAUGAAUAAAUUGUAAAAAUCAGGAUAUUGCAACAGUUGUCCUAUAGAACAGUAGUACCGGUCUCACGGAAGUUGUGCAGGUGUAUAUUUGAUAUUUGGUUAGUAUUCAUUCUUGAGUGACACAGUGACCAGAUCAUUCCACUAAGAAAGUCAUAACUGCUAUAAGUCUUAUUAUAAAAAUAAGUAAAAUGCUUAAGGUAGACUGAAGUUUUGUUAGAGGUAGGGUCUAAAUCCAUAUCCAUAUUUGAUAUGCAUAGCAUAAAUUGUGAGUUUGUACUUAAAUUCCACUUUGUUGUCUGGGGAGGUUUAUAAAAGUAAUGAAACUUUAGUUUCAUGCCAAACUAAAGAGAACAAAAAUUAACAGUAAUUAUUUAAUAAGUUUUGAAUGGUAACUGUGGACUAGCGAUAUAUAAGUGUUACGUCAUUUUUUUCAUUAUAAAUAUUCCUCUAGAACGUUAUUAUCUAGGUUUUAUAGAUGUGAAAAUGGAUUAAGGAAACUGGUGACUUGUCCAAGGUCAUUUAACUAGUGGGUAGUGGAGCUAGGAUUUGAACUGUGGUCUGUUUAACACCAAAGUCCAAGCUUUCGAAUACUGCUUUGCACCUUAAUAUUCGGUGCUGUAAUAUUCCUGGCCUGCUUUCAAAAACUUCUCUCUUCCUGUCAAUUUCAGAGAUAACAUUCAAUAACUUGACAACAGUGACCUUUCUAAACAAAUAUAGAAUGUUACAGAACCAGAUGGCCCAAGAUUAUAUUUUAUUUUUCUGGCUCAAAAUAAAUUGCCUGCUGUAGGACUGAUAAAGUCCAAAAAAGACCCUCUGUGUCCCAGGACUUCAUCAGGCCACAUGGCCAGCCAGUGCCCUUUAUCAUGAGCCAGUCAUGAGUAGAGAGCCUUAUGUCUUUAUACUAUAAUUUAAAUUACAGCCUAAUGAAAGGGCAAGAAGCUGCUUUACUGAGUGAGAUCAUUCUGGCCUUCAAUAAUGGCAGUGCAUUUGGGGUAGAACAAUUCUGAGGAACUAAAGGCAGUACUACUGUCUGUCUGUUAAAUGGGUGUAAGCAAGAAGAAUGUUGAGUUAUAAUUUAACAAACUCCCAAAUUAGCCAUCUUUUUUUGUGGGGAUUCAAGUAGGAUUUUUCUAGUAUUAGAAACCUUUUGCUUUAUUGUUCAAAAUCUGGGUGGAAAUCUUUUUGACGGCCAUAGACACAUAUCUUUAGAAAAUAAAUUCUGUAUUGGAAACAUACAUUAUUAUCUCCCACACAAGCAUAAACAUAAUGCCUUCAUGAGCACAAUUAGAUUUAGCAGAUUUUGGUUUAGAGAGAUAAGGUUGCAAAGGAUAAGCAUAGAAAUGUUUCAAAGACAUAUUGAAGGCAACUUGUAAUUGAUGGUAAAAAUUAAUAGUGACAAAAAGAAACACUGGACUUAGAGUCAGGAGUCCUAUGUUUGAAACUUUUUCAAUACUCUGAAGGAUCCUUAAGCAAGUGGUUUAAAUUCUCUGAGUCUCAGUUUUCUCAUUUGUAAAGUGAGGCCAAAAUAAUAAAUAUUACCUGCCUUGUUUAAUUACAGGGUUGUUCUGAGGACCAAAUGAGGGGGCAUUGACAAAAUUAUGGUGAUGUACAAAUGAAUGCUGUUAUUAUGGUAGCAUCUAGUACACAGGGAAAGUGUCCUGAGUCGUAAGGCAUACCUGCUUUUGGAAUUGCUGUGUUAUUUAGCAUUUUGAUGAUUUAGGCCAAGUCACCGCAAUCUUGAGCUUUAUUUCUCUCACCUAAAUAAGAUAAUAAUCUCUCCCAGAGUUGUGAGAAUUAUGUUAGCUGUAGAUGCUAUUUUUAAAUUUUUAUAAAAUAGUGAUCAUCUGGGAAUUAUAAUGUCAUCUUGAACAGAUUUUGGAAAGUUGGGAAAGAAAUAACCAGAGGCUUCUAAUCUGUUCCCAAAUAUCUUAGCAAGAUAAAUAAUCCAAAGAAUACUAGAAUGUUAGUGCUAGAAGGACCCUUGAAGGUCACCUGUCUUAUCCUCCUCAUUUUAAGACAGAGGAUUGCCUCCUAAUCAUAAUUUUGUCAUUUCUGCCAUGUAUUAUGUGCAUAUAACACUGUCACCAGCAUCAUCAAUAGUAAAGGAUGGCAAUUGUUACUCAAUCUUGAUAGAUACAGAUUUUUAAAAGUGCAGAGUCAGAGAAGAAUUCUGCUUGGAGAUAGUAUCGUGUUGUGAAAAGAACCUGGGUUUUGUUGUUGGAAGUUAAGAUGGUAUCUUGAUCCUUUCAGUUACUAGUUUGGAGACAGUGGGACAUUCACUUAGUGUUUGGUGUAGUGUAGCUCCUUAACUAUCCUAUUUCUUUAGCUGUCACGUAGGUAUAGACAUAUUAUACCUUAGCCAUUUCCACAUGUGAUUUUCUGGAUUUGAAAUGAAUUUACUUUUUAUGCUAUUUAUAUUAAUGAUUCUUUUUUGUUGUUUUGUUUUUAACUCAGUGAAUUUUAUUACUUUUACAGUAUAUUAAUGGUUCUUGACCUUUUCUCCCUUGUCUCAUGCAAAUACAAUAGAUUCUUUCUAUUGUGUUGGAAAGGUGGAGUUGGAACAAAGCAGAAUCUUGGAACUGUGGGUUAGGUGUAGUUAGAAAAGACUUCUCUUUAAGGCUGGUUUAGGGACUUAAACAUAGAGCUAUUCUGUUAAGCCAUUUUUUUGUCAGCUUUUUUCCUUACAUGAUUGCAUUUAAAUUUAUAUGUGUUGGUUUUGCUUAUAUUAGAGUUUACAUGUAUUUGGAAAAUUCAUUAGAAAGUUAAUGGGCAGUGUUUUAAUAUGAAAUUUUAAAAUACUAUUAAGUGUUUUCCUUUGAGAAGAGCUCUUCAAAAGAAAGUGCAAGAAAAUAAUGUUUUAUCACUGAAGAACAAGUACAGAGAAUGUUUAUGUUUAUAAUCAAGAAUAGUGACCUUAGUAUACUUUUUAGAGCACACCAUUAAGAGAUUCCAUAGUUUAUAUUUUCAUGAUAGUAAGUUUGGUAUUUUUUUAUUAAGAAUAUUUUCAUUCUUACUUGAUAUCCUGGAGAUACAAAGUUUAUACUUAGGGAGUUACCAUUGUGGCACAGCGAAAUAAAUCCAACUAGUACCCAUGAGGGUUCGAUCCCUGGCCUCAUCAGUGGGUCAUGUAUCUGGCAUUGCCAUGAGUUGUAGCAUAGGUCGCAGAUGUGGCUUGGAUCCUGCGUUGUUGAGUGUGGUGUGGCCAAGUUGCUGUAGCUCUGAUUUGACCCCUAGCCUGGGAACUUCCAUAUGCCACGGGUGUGGCCCU
rnacentral:lncRNA from 1 species